rnacentral:misc_RNA from 1 species
GUGAAUCAUCGAAUCUUUGAACGCACAUUGCGCCCCUUGGUAUUCCGGGGGGCAUGCCUGUUCGAGCGUCAUUAUACAUCUCAAGCCUGGCUUGGUGCUGGGGCCUACGGUUAGCUGUAGCCUUCAAAGUUAGUGGCGGUGCUAUUAGGUUCUAAGCGUAGUAAUAAUUCUCGCUAUUGAGCCCUAACGAGCAUUAGCCAGGAACCCCAAUUCUUUCUAGUUGACCUCGGAUCAGGUAGGGAUACCCGCUGAACUUAAGCAUAUCAAUAAGCGGAGGA